rnacentral:rRNA from 1 species
CGGGAUAACUUCAGGAAACUGGGGCUAAUACCGGAUAGGAGCUCCUGCUGCAUGGUGGGGGUUGGAAAGUUUCGGCGGUUGGGGAUGGACUCGCGGCUUAUCAGCUUGUUGGUGGGGUAGUGGCUUACCAAGGCUUUGACGGGUAGCCGGCCUGAGAGGGUGACCGGCCACAUUGGGACUGAGAUACGGCCCAG